rnacentral:lncRNA from 1 species
UAGCUGCUCCAGCCUGGUACUCUGGCCCCACUCUCUUCUUCAUCUUCCUUCACCUUCUUUUUGACUCUGGAAAGCCUCCCCCAAAGCCCAGGACAAAGAUGACUUUUGGAAGAUUGCCCAAAACGAUAGCUAGAGUGUGCCCUGGGCUCUGGGAGAUGGAGGAGAGAGGCGACAGGAGGAGUCAAUGGUUUGCCCAGUGCUGCGGGGAGGCGCUUUGCACGCUCUAGAUCGCAAGCCAAACGUCUAGUGCCAAGAGCUGUCAGGCAAAAGACUGGUCAGCUGGAGAGACUUCUCGGGACGCGGAGAGGUAGAACAGGUUUGCAGAGCGCUGGCAACCUCGGUUGACACUAAGGAUCUAUUGCCCCGCGCGCGCGCGAUGCGUGAGCUGAAUUGGGAUGGAAGGGCCUGUUGAAGAGCCAGGGAAGCAGCGUUUAGGAGAGAGUUUUCCGAGGCCACGCCGUGACGGUCGACAUUAAUAUUAGUGGAAAGACGCGUGCCCCGCAGUAAGAUCAUGAAAAGGGAUCCAGGAAAUGAAAGAGGAGAGGCAAGAAGGUAAGAAACACCCACGCGUUCCUCAGAAAUUGCGUGGGGAUGGGUGUCUUUAGUGGUUCAGGACUGUCAAGCUGACUCUGAGACUAUAGAAGAGACCACGCUAAUGCAACCCUCUACAACGGCAUCCUUAAACCCAGCAGAGCGGAAAGCUAAUGCCCUUUCCUUUCCGCCCGGAUGCAAGACUGGAUGGAAGGCAUCCAACAUGAUGAAAUACGGUGCAGAAGAAUGGUCUGGGCAGAAGGAGCGCUGGGUACUAAAGUUGCAUGACCAAAGAGAUCCGAGAGCUGUCUGCCACACCCCCUUCCUGCCUGGUUCCCUUUCUGACUGCCCUGGUCGCUCCCUUGGACUAUGAUGAACACGACUGCAGCGCCCCCUGCUGUGGGGAAGCUACAGGGCACAGAAAACACGUCCUUGCAGGGCUGACUUCCAACUUCCCCUUUUGCACCUAACCAGCAAGCUCUUCAAAGAUAAUAAGGAAAGUGGACUCCCUGGGUAUGUGGCAGCGAUCUGAAAAGUUUGAACGCCUGCAGAAUAAGGAUGUCUGACUUCACAAAGAAAUCGUUUGGAAACUGACAAAUAUUUUACAACUUCAAAAGUAUUUAAAACUUAGCCUGCAAAAUAAAAACAUCUUCAUAAAAGUUAUGAAGACCCCGUUCUAAAGUAUACAAGCUAAAGAACUGAUUAUGUACCACAAAAGCUGUGAAGCUGAGAUCUUAAUUUUCUUGGCACUGGGUUGCAGCCCUUGGGUUGAAGAGAGCAAACGGCUGCUGAGGGCCAUGGCCAUGCACAAGGAACAACAAAUGGUCUUAAAACUCAUGGAAUGUUGUCCACUGGUUACCACAGCCACGCUGGAUUUUCCUCGGCUGGUGCUUAACACUCUCAGAGAAGUGAGCCUAGACCGCGGUACGUUUCUCCAAAUGCAAAGUCAAACGUGUUCAAAGAUGAUCUGGGACAUACUAAAAUGCCUUUAAGAAGAUUAAAUGUUUAUAUUCUACCAAGCUUUUCAUAAGAACACUACAAACAUUUCUAAAUUAUAAACCUCUGCUUAGAACUUUGUUAUUAAUUACAUUGAGUAGGAAAAUGCAUUAGAACAUCUGUAAAGAUUGUCUUUUUUUUUUUAAUGCAACCAUUGUUCUGAAUUGUUGAGGUGAAAAUAAAGAUGUUUUGUUGCUUUGA